CUGCCGCUUGUUACGACUUCACCCCGGUCAUGAAUCCUACCGUGGUAAUCGCCCUCCUUACGGUUAGGCCUAACUACUUCUGGUAGAGCCCGCCAUGGUUUCUUGCGGUGUGUACAAGACCGGAACGUAUUCACGCGACAUGCUGGUCCGCGAUUACUGGCGAUUCCGACUUCACGCAGUCAGUUGCAACUGCGAUCCGGACUACGAUCGGGUUUCUGGGAUUGGCUCCCGCUCGCGGGUUGGCGACCCUCUGUCCCGACCAUUGUAUGACGUGUGAAGCCCUACCCGCAAGGGCCAUGAGGACUUGACGUCAUCCCACCUUCCUCCGGUUUGUCACCGGCAAGUCUCCGUCCCGAGUUACCCUUUCGGCGCUAUUGACAAGGGUUGCUCGUUGCGGGACUUCUUCGCUCUCGACACGAGCUGACGACAGCCAUGCACGGCACCUGUGUUCGGUUCUCUUUCCGAAACACUCAAAUCUUCAGGAUUCCAGACAUGUCAAGGUAGGUAAGGUUUCGCGUUGCAUCAGUUAAAUCCACAUCAUCCACCGCUUGUGCAGGUCCAUUAAUUCCUUUGAGUUUAAUCUUUGACCGUGCUCCCCAGGCGGUCAACUUCACGCGUUAACAUUACCAAAGGCGAAGAAUACCCAACAGCUAGUUGACAUCGUUUAGGGCGUGGACUACCAGGAGUAUCUAAUCCUGUUUGCUCCCCGCUUUCGUGCAUGAGCGUCAGUGUUAUCCCAGGAGGCUGCCUUCGCCAUCGGUGUUCCUCCGCAUAUCACGCAUUUCACUGCUACGCGGAAUUCCACCUCCCUGGCGCUCUAGCUCGGUAGUUAAAAAUGCGGUUCAAGUUAAGCUCUGAGUUCCAUCGCGCCGAACCGCCUGCGCUGCACCCAGUAAUUCGAUUAACGCUUGCACCCUACGUAUUACUGCGCGGCUGCUGGCACGUGGUUAGCCGGUGCUUAUUCUGCGGGGUACCGUCAGUUGCACGGGGUAUUGCUCCGUGCCGUUUCUUUCCUGCCAAAGUGCUUUACAACCCGAGGCCUUCAUCGCACACGCGGGAUGGCUGGAUCAAGUUUCCCCCAUUGUCAAAAUUCCCCACUGCUGCCUCCGUAGAGUCUGGGCCGUGUCUCAGUUGUUGGCGGCUGGUCGUCCUCUCAAACCAGCCACGGAUCGUCGCCUUGACGAGCCGUUACCCCACCAGCAGCUAAUCCGAUAUCAGCCGCUCUAAUAGUGCGAGGCCCGAAGGUCCCCAACUUUCCCCGAGGGGCAUGUGCGGUAUUAGCUACGCUUUUAGCGUGAAUUCUCCGCUACUAGGCGUUCAAAUACAUUGCCCUCACCGUUCGCCACUCGCCACCAGACCGAAGUCCGUGCUGCCGUUCAUUGCUGUAAAAGCAUCCCGCCAGCGUUCAAUCAGGCUAUAAUCGAACCCUCCA
rnacentral:rRNA from 1 species